CAGUAGCCACGGGAAUACGGAGGGCGCGAGCGUUACCCGGAUUUACUGGGCGUAAAGGGCGUGUAGGCGGCCUGGGGCGUCCCAUGUGAAAGGCCACGGCUCAACCGUGGAGGAGCGUGGGAUACGCUCAGGCUAGAGGGUGGGAGAGGGUGGUGGAAUUCCCGGAGUAGCGGUGAAAUGCGCAGAUACCGGGAGGAACGCCGAUGGCGAAGGCAGCCACCUGGUCCACUUCUGACGCUGAGGCGCGAAAGCGUGGGGAGCAAACAGGAUUAGAGACCCCUGUAGUCCCUGUCUCUUAUAC
rnacentral:rRNA from 1 species